GAAGAAUAUUAACUGGAGCUUGGGUCUUCAUAUUGGGCAUCGUUUCCUGGCUCCAAAGGGGAAGAUGGUGCACUGUUCAGCCUCAUGGAGAAGUUCUUCACAUUGGCUUUUCUGGUGGGAACUUGG